rnacentral:rRNA from 1 species
AUUGAACGCUGGCGGCAUGCUUUACACAUGCAAGUCGAACGGCAGCGCGGGCUUCGGCCUGGCGGCGAGUGGCGAACGGGUGAGUAAUGCAUCGGAACGUGCCCAGUAGUGGGGGAUAGCCCGGCGAAAGCCGGAUUAAUACCGCAUACGACCUGAGGGUGAAAGCGGGGGACCGAAAGGCCUCGCGCUAUUGGAGCGGCCGAUGUCGGAUUAGCUAGUUGGUGGGGUAAAGGCUUACCAAGGCGACGAUCCGUAGCUGGUCUGAGAGGACGACCAGCCAAAUUGGGAUUGAGAAAGGGCCAAGACUCCUAGGGGAGGAAGCAGUGGGGAAUUUUGGAAAAGGGGGCAACCCUGAUCCAGCCAUGCCGCGUGCGGGAAGAAGGCCUUCGGGUUGUAAACCGCUUUUGUUCGGGAAGAAAUCCUCUGGGCUAAUACCCCGGGGGGAUGACGGUACCGGAAGAAUAAGCACCGGCUAACUACGUG